UGCAGUCUUCAAUCCAAAAACACAGGCAGUUUUCAAUAAAUAAAAAACAGAGUGCAGUUUACAGUGAGGUUUUAGGCGUCCACUAAUUGCCAGACGGUAGAGGGUUUAAGGUCCUAGGAUUUUUUAUGGCUUCAAUAUGGGUAAAAGUAAAGGCCGAGGAAAUACCCUUGAAAUAAUGAUUCGUUAUGCUCCAACCACAUUCUGAUAGUGAUACGACCUUAGGCUCACUGCCCACUGUCCCUGCUCUCUCUCUCUCUCUCUCUGACUCUCUCUAGAUGGUGGAAUUUUAGAAUCCCAAUGUGAUUUCAAGAAAAAAGUAUAUCAGUGUAGACUACGGCAGAAGCUGCGCAGCUACUUUGAGAGACCAGAAAGAUUGCGUUUUGCAUCUGCAUUCCCUUCACCAUCACCCUUUCUCGAAAAGCUUCUCUCUUCUCAGUCCGUGAAGGAGCUAGCUAUUAACUCUCCUUUCUCUCUCUGCCUCAGCAACAAACCCAGAGCAAGAGACAUUGCAGCCCACCUCUCAACUUAUUUAAAACAGCGAAGAAAACAGGGGAAGAGCCAAUUGGGUUUUUGGUGCAGGAGACUCGGUGAGCAGCAGUGUAAGCGAGCCACUUAUGAAUAUGGGUUUGGUAGGAAGCUUGGUUUGGGUGAAUGCAUACAGUAGGAAGCAGUGUAGGAGCCUGUUCUGGAGAAUGAGAGCGGCAUUGAAGAAGGCUCUCAAGAACUCUGGCAAGCAGCAGUUGAGGUUCCAAUAUGAUCCUUCCAGCUAUGCUCUGAAUUUUGAUGAUGGCUCUUGGAAAUCAGCCCAGGAAGCAAAUGCUUUGAAAUUGAAACAUGCAACAAAACCUCAGGCCCAUUCGGAUUCAGAUGUCAAAAAUACUGCUUGGGUUUAUGUUCUUUGGGUGGUUUCGGAGUGAUGUUUGCAAGGGGAAAGAGGGGAGCAGAUUGUUUUUUCUUUUUUCUUUGUGUUUGUGUGGUGUCCAAAAAUUUUAGCAGCUAAAGUGCCAUGCUUGUGAAGAGUGGGGUCAUUGUCUAAAAAAUGAAUGGUUAUAAUUACAAGUGUGACUUAUGAUUUUCUUAUUUCAUUUCUCAUGUUAACUUCUUCGUUGUUUGGCUAAAUUGUCUAAUAUUUAUUUUCUUGAGUCCUCAGGGAAAUUACAUGAUCAUGAUGUUCUUAAUGUUCAGUGAGAUUGCAUGCAAUCCAUUAGAAGGUAAGGGAACGUAAGAACGCUUUCCUUACCUAUAACUUGAAAGCUGCGAUGAGCGCAUGUGCAUUCUAGCUUCUCGAAAUUUUGACAAGACCACAGCAAUUUUUCUUUUAAUUUUUAUUAUUUGAAGUAAGACCACAGCAAUACAUUAUUGUAGCUCACUACCUGUUUUGCUGCACCUAAGACAGCCAACAAGAUUUACUCCACAAUCUCAAGAAAUAGACGUAAAAGAGAUGUUAUAGACAAUCAUUUGUACAAAUGUUGAGAAUGCCACAGAAACGUAAAUGAUAAUAAAAUUAACAAAGAUUGCAAUGAAACAACAUCCAAAGGAGGAAUGUAGAUACAGCCAUUUCGCGAUAAA